AGCCUGAACGCUGGCGGCGUGGCUAAGACAUGCAAGUCGUACGGGUGUAGCAAUACACCAGUGGCGAACGGGUGAGUAAAGUAUCGCUAACGUACCCCUAUGUCCGGGAUAGCUGGGGGAAACCCCAGGUAAUACCGGGUGACAUCACUUUUCCGCAUGGAAGAGUGCUCAAAGGGAAACCGCAAAGGGAGCGGGCGAUAUCGUAUCAGCUAGUUGGUGAGGUAACGGCUCACCAAGGCUAUGACGCGUAGCCGGACUGAGAGGUCGGACGGCCACAUUGGGACUGAGACACUGCCCAGACUCCUACGGGGGGCUGCAGUAACGAAUCUUCCGCAAUGCACGCAAGUGUGACGGAGCGACGCCGCGUGUGGGACGAAGUCCUUCGGGAUGUAAACCACUGUCAGGGGUUACCAAGUUCUGAGGAACCCCAGAGGAAGGCACGGCUAACUCUGUGCCAGCAGCCGC
rnacentral:rRNA from 1 species